UUCCACCUAUUUAUUUUCCUUCGCUGUUUUUUUGUUUCGCAAGAUGUCGCUUAGAUUUUUGGAAUAUGAUAUCGAACAGUUUAUACGCUUUUGAAACCAACUCUAGAUCUGCUUAACCGAAUACUUUCCAAAAUAAGAGUUAUCUCCCCGAACACUGUUUUUCUUGUUAUCUCUAAGGCUUUAUAACCUUAAAAGAAACCAACAAAUUUGUUUUUCCAAAUUGCUCGUUACAUCCUCAGGAUGUUCCGUUUUAUUUUGACCGAAGCCGUAUAUAGAUUCCAUAUGAGAUUUAUCCCCCCUUUUAUGUUUGAUAUAAGAAUAUGCAUUUCAAACUGGUAACCCAUAAGUUAUAGAGACCUAGGGUCUUUUGAUUUGAGAUCCUUGGUCCAAAAAAAUGAAAAUAAGGUCAAGGUCAAAGGUCAAGGUCAUAUUAUAAAUUUUGAUUUUGGCUUAUUUUCACUUAUUUUCAAAAGCCGUUUAACUUAUCGCCAAAUUAUCUUUACUAAAUUGUUAGUUGCGACAUGUCGUAACAUGUAAAUUUUAGUCGAAAGAGUACGUAGACAUUUGAUGCCAGUUUUGGCCCCUUUUAUAUCUAAUAUUAG
rnacentral:lncRNA from 1 species